AGUGAACGCUGGCGGUAGGCCUAACACAUGCAAGUCGAACGGCAGCACAGUAAGAGCUUGCUCUUACGGGUGGCGAGUGGCGGACGGGUGAGGAAUACAUCGGAAUCUACUUUUUCGUGGGGGAUAACGGAGGAACACUUACGCUAAUACCGCAUACGACCUACGGGUGAAAGCAGGGGAUCUUCGGACCUUGCGCGAUUGAAUGAGCCGAUGUCGGAUUAGCUAGUUGGCGAGGUAAAGGCCCACCAAGGCGACGAUGCGUAGCUGGCCUGAGAGGGUGGUCAGCCACACGGGAACUGAGACACGGUCCAGACUCCUGCGGGAGGCAGCAGUAGGGAAUCUUCGGCGAUGGGCGGAAGCCUGACGGCGCCACGCCGCGGGAGUGAAAAAGGUCUUCGGAUUGUAAAACUCUUUUAUUAGGGAAGAAAAAAUGUGUAAGUAACUACGCCCGUCUUGACGGUACCCAAACAAAAAGCCACGGCUAACUUCGUG
rnacentral:rRNA from 1 species